rnacentral:rRNA from 1 species
AGUGAACGCUGGCGGUAGGCCUAACACAUGCAAGUCGAACGGCAGCACAGUAAGAGCUUGCUCUUACGGGUGGCGAGUGGCGGACGGGUGAGGAAUACAUCGGAAUCUACUUUUUCGUGGGGGAGAACGUAGGGAAACUUACGCUAAUACCGCAUACGACCUACGGGUGAAAGCAGGGGAUCUUCGGACCUUGCGCGAUUGAAUGAGCCGAUGUCGGAUUAGCUAGUUGGCGGGGUAAAGGCCCACCAAGGCGACGAUCCGUAGCUGGUCUGAGAGGAUGAUCAGCCACACUGGAACUGAGACACGGUCCAGACUCCUACGGGAGGCCGCAGUGGGGAAUAUUGGACAAUGGGCGCAAGCCUGAUCCAGCCAUACCGCGUGGGUGAAGAAGGCCUUCGGGUUGUAAAGCCCUUUUGUUGGGAAAGAAAAGCAGCAGGUUAAUACCCCGCUGUUCUGACGGUACCCAAAGAAUAAGCACCGGCUAACUUCGUG